UCCUCGAAGUAAGACUGUUGUCUUGUAGAAAGCUUGCAGGUUCAGAAUGACUGUGCGCAGCUUGUCAGCAGCAAGGCUGUAUUCUCGAAGGACCAAAAAACCGUAUGGUACAGUCUAUGGUUGAGUGAGAGAUGACAUGUGAGGGAAGGUUAUGAGGGAAACCAAACCCAAUGAAAGUCGAUCAAACACUAAAUUUAUUAAGAUUAUUUUGAGUAUAUAUAGGCAGAAGUACAGACGUCAUUUGACGUCAUUCGUCGCAAACAAAUAUCAA
rnacentral:misc_RNA from 1 species